GGUGCUGUAGGCAAAUUGGUAAAGCCACCUGUCUUACCCUUCGGGAAGGCUAACGCCUACAAGCAGGAGAUUGCGGGUUCAAGCCCCGUCAGCACUG
rnacentral:tRNA from 1 species